rnacentral:lncRNA from 10 species
GGACAUUUGUUGCGCUUUGAGGUCUAUGGUGAGAAAGCAAAUAUCUUCACAUAAAAACUAGACCGAAGCAUUCUGAGAAACUUCUUUGUGAUGUGUGCAUUCAACUCACAGAGUUGAUCAUUUCUUUUAAUAGAGCAGUUUUGAAACAAUAUUUUUGAAGUAUCUGCAAAUGGACAUUUGAAGAGCUUUGAGGCCUAUGGUGAAAAACUAUAUAUCUUCACAUAAAAACUGCACAGAAGCAUUCUAAGAAACUUAUUUCUGUUGUUUGCUUUAAACUCACAGAGUUGAACAUUCCUUUUCUUAGAGCACUUUUGAAACACUCUUUUUGUAGAAUUUGCAAGUGGAUAUUUUGGAACAUUUUGAGGCCUUCGUUGCAAACGGGAUAUCUUCCCAAAAACUAGACAGAAGCAUUCUCAGAAACUACUUUGUCAUGUGUGCACUCAACUCACCCAGUUGAACCUUUCUUCUGAUAGAGCAGUUUUGAAAUACACUUUUUGUAGAAUCUGCAAAUGGACAUUUGGAGCGCUUUGAAGCCAAUGGUGAAAAAGGAAUUCUCUUCACAUAAGAACUACACAGAAGCAUUCUCAGAAACUUGUUUGUGACGUUUGCUAUCAACUCACACAGUUGAACAUUCCUUUUCAUACAGCAGUUUUGAAACACUCUUUUUGUAGAAUUUGCAAGUGGAUAUUUGGAACACUUUGAGGCCUUCAUUGCAAACGGGAUAUCUUCACAAAAACUAGAAAGAAGCAUUCUCAGAAACUUCUUUGUGAUGUGUGCAUUCAACUCACAGUGUUGAGCCGUUCUUUUGUUAGAGCAGUUUUGAAACACGCUUUUUGUAGAAUCUUCAAGUUGCCAUUUGGAACGCGUAGAGGCUUGUGUUGGAAAAGGAAAUAUCUUCAGAUGAAACUACACAGAAGCAUUCUCAGAAACAUCUUUGGAUAUUUGCUUUCAACACAUAGAAUUGAACAUUCGUUUUCUUAGAGCAGUUUUGAAACACUCUUAUGUAAAAUUUCCAAGUGAAUAUUUGGACCGCUUUGAGGUCUUCAUUGGAAAUGGUAUAUCUUCACAAAAAAUAGACAGCAGCAUUCACAGAAACUUCUUGGUGAUGAGCAUUCAACUCACAGAGUUGAAACGUUCUUUUGAUAGAACAGUUUUGAAACAGUCUUUUUGUAGAAUCAGCAAGUGGAAAUUUGGAGGGCUUUGAGGUCUAAUGUGGAAGAGGAAAUAUCUUCACAUAAAAACUCCAUAGAAGAAUUCUCAGAAACCCCUCUGUGAUGUCUGCAUUCAUCUCAAAGUGUUGAACCUUUCUUUUGAUAGAGCAGUUUUGAAAGACACUUUUUGUAGAAUCUGCACGUGGACAUUUGAAGCUUUGAGGCCUAAGGGGAAAAAGGAAAUAUCUUCACAUAAAAACUACACCGAAGUAUUCUCAGAAACUUCUUUGUGGUGUUUGCUUUCAACUCACUGAUUUGAACAUUCCUUUUCAUACAGCAGUUUUGAAACACUCUUUUUGAAAGAUCUGCAAGUGGACAUUUGGACCUCUUUGAGGCCCUCGUUGGGAACGAGAUAUCUUCACAAAAA